CACUAAAUCACCUCCGACUACCUAAGGCACUAUCAUUACUGUGUCUCAAAAAUCGGUACCCUCUCUCAGCGAGUCCAACGGGCGUUCGAGUUACACUUGACCACUACGAAGGCGCCGGAGGCGGCUUCCACAACGCCCGUAAUCGAGGCACACUGGCAGCUAGUCUGUUAUAAAGUUAAAAUUAUUUACUAAUGCAUUGAUAACACGGUGAUCUUUUGACACAUGUUUGUUAUCAGUUAUAAUACGUGAUAAUACAAAUAUUUUUUUCUGUAUGAUAAAAUCGAUUGAUUAUUAUUUUUUUUUUUUUUAAAUGUCCGUUGACUUCUAUAAUUUAAUAAUUCAAACAACGUAAAAAUGCCACGAAUUUAUAAACCAGAUCCUCGAAGCAAAAAGUAUAUGAAACCAAAUCAAAAUGAUCUCAAAAAUGCUAUUAUGGCAAUUAAAAGUAAACAGGUAACAUACCGGGAAGCUCAGGAAAUAUAUGGCAUACAUUAUUCUGUACUCUAUAUUGUAACCUAUAGUAUUUACCUACAGUAAAGAAACUGAGAUAACUACCAAACUAAUUAAUUAAGUGUUGAAUAUUUAAUAAAUAUUUUUAAAAAUUUAA